UGAACGCUGGCGGCAGGCCUAACACAUGCAAGUCGAGCGAGAAAGCACUUCGGUGUGAGUACAGCGGCGGACGGGUGAGUAACGCGUAGGAAUCUACCCAGUAGUGGGGGACAACAUGGUGAAAACCAUGCUAAUACCGCAUACGCCCUACGGGGGAAAGCGGGGGACCUUCGGGCCUCGCGCUACUGGAUGAGCCUGCGUUGGAUUAGCUUGUUGGUGAGGUAAAGGCUCACCAAGGCGACGAUCCAUAGCUGGUCUGAGAGGAUGAUCAGCCACACUGGGACUGAGACACGGCCCAGACUCCUACGGGAGGCAGCAGUGGGGAAUAUUGCGCAAUGGGCGAAAGCCUGACGCAGCCAUGCCGCGUGUGUGAAGAAGGCCUUAGGGUUGUAAAGCACUUUCAAUUGGGAAGAAAAGCUGUUGCUUAAUAAGUAACAGCCCUGACAUUACCUUUAGAAGAAGCACCGGCUAACUCC
rnacentral:rRNA from 1 species